GGCGGGCCCCCUCGCAUCGCGGUGCUGUGAACCUGGUCAGGUCGGGAACGAAGCAGCCAUAGCGGAUUGCCUCGAGUGCCGAGGAUCGGGCUCGCCUUU
rnacentral:SRP_RNA from 1 species